CCUGCGAGAGCCAUGAGCUACUGCGUUGGGGAUGAUGAUAUGGGGAUUAAGAAUACCCAUCAUCAUCAACAAUAUAAUCUUUAUAACAAGGGUAAUAAUAAUAAUAGUAAGGGCAGCAGCGAGGGUUGUGAUAAUUAUGGGAAUGAGAAGAAGAAGAAGAAAGGUGGGUUUUGGUCCAAAUUGCUUCAUUUGAAGGGGAAGAACAACAGCAAUCACAGGGAGGUUAUGAUCCAGCAGCGAAGGGUGUAUUGACCAUACACUACAGGUUCCUUGUUUUCUUUUUCUUUAACAUUAAUUUUUCUCCAAUUAUAUUUGCCUCGAUCGUUCAUGGAGAAGAAGAAAUAAAUUUCUCGUCUUCUUUGUGUACAUCUCUAUCUUUGUUAUUAAGAACCAGAUUUGUAUUAAGUUGUUCUUCAGAAUGAAUGAUAACAGUAACUUGGAAUAUUGGUGGAUAUCUUUCUCUAGUGUUGAGCCAAUGAGACAAAUAGGAGUCGUUGCUUGCUAUCAAACAAACACUUCUAAGCUAACUCCAUUGAAACCUAUGUUGGUCGCUUUGCUCAAACAUGGUUUGGUUUUGUCCGGCGGUGUUUAAACACAAUUCAAGUGGUUUUGUUACGGCGAAUGAAUCUAUCUUAAAAAAACUAUGCAAAAACAAGAUUUGAUUUAUUUUCAAUUUUCUUUUGAUUUUUAUUUCCUUAUGUGCUUAUCCAUUUAAUUUUGUCUAUCAAAUUUCUUUCAUCAUGAGCUAUUUAUGUCUUCUUUCAUCGGGAGCUAUUUAUGUCGAAACAAACAAAAAGUACACAGGAGUCGGAGAUGAGGGGAAGCUUAACUGGAGGUGGUUCGCAAAAGACUCCUUCGCGAGAUAGAAGAAGAAUUAGCUCAAAUGAAACUCUAAAUAUCGAUGUUCUGAAACUUUUUUCUUGUCUAUUUUUUUCGUAUAUGAUCCAUUAUUUAUUUGUACACAAGGUUAAACAAUCGAAAUGUCAACUACGAGUAUCAGAAUAACUUCAUUUGUUUUGAUUUCUUUCCCGCAAUCACCCGGCUCUCUAGGUCGAACCAUCUAUUAGUCCAACAGACUCUGUAGGCGGAACAACAAGUGUAGGAACUCCAUUCAUAACAGGACAAGGAGCACAAGUGAGGAAAACUAUGACCGAAUACAAAGGGUAACCAAGACCUUGCCAAUGAGUGAUGAUUGCGGUCGUAUCGUAUCUCGUUAGAAUUUGCUAAAAACCUUGCUACAAGUUAAGAGGCUAGACCGAGUUCGAAUCCAUCUAUGAAUUAGUCACUCAACAUGGCAUAAGGAGGAGGUGCAAUACAUAUUACAAAGAGUAAGUGUACAGUACAAGGAUCUCUACGUCAUGUUUCUGUAUCUCCACCGGGACUAUAUAUUCUCUCUCAACUCAAGUAGCCAAAUUUUGGCUCUGCACAGAACUUAGUUCAACUGUCUCGUGACUCCCAAGUUAUAUCAUGUAUCCUACUUCUGCAGUUUUUUUCUUUUGGCUUUUGGCUUUGGCGACAUAUCACACUAUAGCCAAAACAACAAAAGAUGCAUCAGCAAAAUGAAUUGGGGCAUUAAUUCGUAUCACCUUUUUAUCUGUACACAGGAUUUUCUUGCUUCAACCAUUGUGAGCUCCUCCGAUUCAAUCAUCUGGUAGGCCGUGGAGCUCUGAUCUCAUCCCCAGCGUCGUCCUCGUCACUUACACUUCCUUCAUCAUCAGACGGUCGUUUCAAUCUCUGGAAUAUCUCGUCAAGAUUGUCAGGUGAUGAUGAAUCAUGAGACACGAGCUUAGUUUCCUGCAUCUGACGUAGAUUAAGAAAUCGUUUUGCUUCUAUAUUAGCUUUGAAAGUUUGGAAACCAUUCUUCAUCGACUCCCAUCUGGCAGUGAGGCCCAAAGACUUCCCUCGAUUUGUGUUGUCAGAAGAAAUAGAGUUGCCUGCAUCAAGCAAUGACACCUUAGCAGAGACUAU
rnacentral:lncRNA from 1 species